AACGGAAACUUCUAUUCCUGUUAUUUGACUGUUAGGUUUUCUGGGUUAAUCCUUUCUCUCAUGUCUUGCUUUUGCCCAUAAUUUUUAUUUCCUGAUCUCUAUUUGCUAUCUUUGUGGGAAGGAAACUGGGAUGAACUUUAUAUUCAUGGAAAGAUAAAGUUCCAUAGAAAUUUUUACUUUGCGUGCUCUAGCUUUAUUUAUUAAGAGCUCUUCUUUCCUCACUGAUUAAUAAAUUCUUGUUUUAUGGAUACAUUAUCUUCUCAUAUCUUUCCAAGGAUGUUAUGUUAAGGUUGUUUUAUGGAUGCAUUAUCUUCUCAUAUCUCUCCAAGGAUGACAUUUAGCACAAAUCCCUUCCUUUCCUUUCCCUUUCUCUUUCUCUUUCUCUCUCUUUCUUUCUUUCUUUUCUCCCUUUCUGGCUCUGUCUUUCUCUUUCUUCCUCCCUUUGUCUCUCCUUUUUAAAAAAUUAACCCAAACUUUGGCAUAUUGAGAAAUAAUGUGGGAAAAGAGGUAAGGCAGAUGAAAGACCAAGAAACCACUUUUAUUAAACAAUUGAAGAGUCAGGUAGAGGAUGCAGUUUAGUCUAAGAGUCCAGUGGGCCUGCAAACUCAACCCCAGAACUGGGAAACUUAGGCAGCCAAUCACGGGCAAUGCUGAACUGGGACAGGACUCCUCCCAUGGUACGACUGUUCUCACUGAGGGGUAGAAAAAAACAUGCUCUGUCUUGGAAAGACUCACUCCCAGGAGGAAAGGGUGGAGCUGAACUAAGUCUGACCGGUUCUUUCUCCCAGACUCACCUUUACUGCCCUGUGGGAGAGGCUAGUGGGAGGGUGGGCAAGGCCAGAGCGUGUCCUGCCUCCAUGUGGAGGGAGAUACGGGAAGCUGGCAUUUCUGAGAUGAAAGAAGUGGGCCCUGCCAUUGAACAGAAUUUAUGCAUUUAAAUAUUCAUCAUUUCUGUGAAAAAGAGAAGAAAAUGAGCCUGCAUGGCAUAGUGAGUCUGCAACUGUGAACUCGGGAAAUCCUGUACCUUCCCGUGCAGUCGCUCCCCAGCCAUGCAGGUAUUUCCAGAGCCUGGAGAUCCCAGACUACCUUUCAAAAGAAUGAAUUCCAGACCCAGAGAGUCCCCUGGAGGAGAUUCAUGGCAAGCAGCCGUACGAAAUAACAGAAGCCCCAGAGAGGGGAAGCAAUUUCCUGCCUAAGUCGUCCAUCUGUCAGUGGCAAAGCUAGGACUGGAACUCAGGAUUCUCCAUCCCUCUUCCCAAACCUGGCACUAUCUUCCUGGCUUUCUGGGUCUGGAGUCCCAUGUUAGAGGCCCUCUGUUUUCAGAGCAGGACUCAUUGAAUAUGUGUGCUCUUUCUACUCAAGUGCUUCAAGGAUCCUUCCUGGAAAAGCCUCGGUUCCGGACCAGUGCUGUCAUGGCCUCACCAUGUCAUAGAAUUCCCAUCAUUUCACUUGUGACUCCCUUCUUCCUAGGACCCGGGCAUAAAUUCUUGAAGAGUUGAUCUGAGUGACAGACUCCCACGCUAUGCCAAAAACGGCCUCUUAUUUCCCAAUGAUUGAGACCUUUUAUUUGAUCAAUCUCAUGUGCUCACUGGACCCCAGUGAUACCUUCACAUACCUGACACCUCAGGGAAACACAGCUUCCGUUCAAGUCAAGAUCCUUGCUAUACUGCAAACUCUUAUGAAACGUCUAGGAGAAUUUUCAGGCUCCUUUGUAUAUGGAAAAAGGUCAGAAUGAAGCUCCAAAUUCUUCAGCAUGUGUAAAAACUUAAGACAACCAUAUUUUAUUUUUGUUUUAUUUUUUAUUUUUUUCAUUGUUUUUUUUUUUGAGACAGCCUUGCUCUGUUGCCUAGGCUGGAGUGCAGUGGCGCGAUCUCGGCUCAUUGCAACUUCCACCUCCUGGGUUCAAGCGAUUCUUGUGCCUCAGCCUCCCAAGUAGCUGGAAUUACAGGCAUGCACCACCAUUCACAGCUAAUUUUUGUAUUUUUAGUAGAGAUGGGGUUUCACCAUGUUGGCCAGGCUGGUCUCGACCUCCUGACCUCAGGUGAUCCAGUCGUCUUGGCCUCCCAAAGUGCUGGGAUUACAGGCAUGAGCCCCUGUGCCCAGCCAACAACUACAUUUUAAAGCAACUUUAUUCUCAACUGAAUGACAUUUUAAUCACUUUCUUGCCCAUGUGGAUAUGGAUAAGGAUAUUUUGCCAAUAUUCUUGUUUGUGUUUGACUGUGAUGCUAUUGUUAUACAAAGAAUGGGCAGGUGGAGCUAAGCAGAAAGAGACAGUCGGGUACCUGUACCAUGGAAAAUGGAAGAGAGCCAAGCAGACUGCAUCCUUAGGGGGCAGGGAGGUCAGUGCAAGUUGGGACAAAGCCUAGCUGAGUCGGUGAGCACUUCAUGGCAGACUAGUCAAAUUAUAUCUCUUGGACUAAGAUCUUCAUUAAAGGCCUGCACCUCAGAGACAUUUCAGCCUACCAAGGUGCAUCAUUAUGGAAGACUGGGCAUGAUAAUAGUAAUUUAAAUGAAGUUAAAAGAGCAGUCUAAAUUAGAACAGGUAUUCACAUUCCAAUUUCUCUUGAGAAGAGCCUCUGUUGGAUAAAGAAAACUCGCUGAGCAAAAUAAAUCGAUUGGAGGUAAACUUUACCAGCCCUGGAGUGCAAGGUUUAGAAACAUGCACACAUCCCACGGUGUUAAGGGUCCUGCUGUUUUCUUCCAUGUCAUUUCAUCACAGAACAAUUUUCUACAGCAACCUGAUCUACCUUGUGGCCCAGUAAGGCAUGUUUUGUUUUGAGAUGGAGUCUCACUCUGUCGCCCAGGCUGUAGUGCAGUGGCGUGAUCUCCGCUCACUGCAAGCACUGCCUCCCGGGUUCACGCCAUUCUCCUGCCUCAGCCUCCCAAGUAGCUGGGACUACAGGCGCCCGCCACCAUGCCCGGCUAAUUUUCUGUAUUUUUAUUAGAGACGGGGUUUCACCAUGUUAGCCAGGAUGGUCUCGAUCUCCUGACCUCUGGGAUCUGCCCGUUUCGGCCUCCCAAAGUGCUGGGAUUACAGGUGUGAGCCACCGCUCCCAGCCAAGCAUGUGAGAGUUUUAAAUCAAAUGUUACCUUGUCCCUAUUAGCCUUACCACUGCUAAAUAUCUACACGGUUCCCUGUUAAGGAGAGUUUCUAAAUGACUCUCUUGAGAAAUCCUGGAUAAAUGGAGAAUGGAGCAUUUUUCCUGCCUCUAAGCUUUGCUCCACUGCAAUCUUUCACAUGCUGUGUAUCCAGAGGGUGACUGCCAGAUAGCUUCUUGAAGAAAGGGAGGAGGAAACGGUCAUUUUCUUGCUGCGCUUUCUAACACCCAACAGAGGAAAUGCACAGCAUAGGUGUGUGGGAGUUUGGCUGACUUAUGGUAAAAAAUAAACAUGGUUUCCUGUUUGUCUCUUGUUUCCAUUCCUUCCUUCCUUCAUUUCAUUCUUAUUUUCAUUCAAGCGGUGAGGAGUGACUGGUACUUCCUGCCAGGAAUAACAUUUUAUGAGGGCAAAGAAGGUGUCAUUUGGGGACCAAAAAAUAUCAGUCCUUCUUGCAGGCUUCCAAAAAUUCUCACCUUUCACUCAUCAAUCAGUAUCAUUCCUUAAACUAAUGUUGAGUAUUUUAACUUGUGCUAAAUCAUCCUGUUAUUUGGAAUGCUGAAAGACUGGCAUCUUGAUGCAUUAUAAUUUUCUCAUAUAUCUGAUUAGCUUGGAGCAAUUCCAAGUGCACAGCAUAUUCCAUUACCCAUUUGUCCAUCCACCUACACACCCACCCACCUUUCCAUCCAUGCAUCCAUCCAUCCAUGCAUCCAUCCAGCCAGCCAUCCAUCCAUCCAUUCAUCCAUCUACCUACCCACCCACCCACCUUUCCAUCCAUCCAUCCAUGCAUCCAUGCAUCCAUCCAUCCAUCCAUCCAUGCAUCCGCCCAUCCAUCCAUCCAUCCAUCCAAAGAAGGAAAUGAGUUGAGUGUUCUGUGUUGAAGAGACAGACAGUGCAAAGGCACUGAGGAAUAACAAGCUUGGUGUGUUUUGUUUGUUUGUUUCUUUUAGAUACAGAUUCUUCCCAUGUCACCCAGGCUGGGGUACAGUGGCAUGAUCAUAGCUCACUCUAGCCUAGAACUUCUGGGCUCAAGAGAUCCUCCUGCAUCACCCUCUCAAGUAGGUAGGACUGCAGGCACAUGCUAUCACAUCCAGCUAAUUUUUAAAUAUUUUUUGUAGAGAUGAGGUCUCACUGUGUUGCUCAGGCUGGUCUUGAACUCCUGGCCUCAAGUGGCUUUCCAAAGUGCUAGGAUUAUAGGCGUGAACCACUGUGCCCGGCCAAGCUUGGUGUAGAUUACUGAGCUGAAGCAUAGUGAAGUGUGGAGAGAAGAGGUAGAGAAAAGGUGGGAGGGGGAAGGGGAGAUGGAAGGAAAGGGGAGAAAUUGGGGGCCAUACCAAGGAGAGCCCUGUAGACCAUUGUUGAAGACUUCUGGUCACUUUAUUCUCAAUGCAAUGGGAGCCCACUGCAGGGGGCUUUAAUCAAAGGGAUGACAUAAUGUAAUUUACAUUUCAGAAGCAUCACUUUGGCUGCUAUGUGGAGAAUAGACUUUAGGAUGGCAAGGAUAGAAGUUAAAGGUCCAGGCCGGGCUUGGUGGCUCACACCUGUAAUCCCAGCACUUUGGGAGGCCGAGGCGGGCGGAUCACGAGGUCAGGAGAUCGAGACCGUCUUGGCUAACACGGUGAAACCCCGUCUCUACUAAAAAUACAAAAAAAAAAUUAGCUGGGUGCGGUGGCGGGCGCCUGUAAUCCCAGCUACUCAGGAGGCUGAGGCAGGAGAAUGGCGUGAACCUGGGAGGCGGAGCUUGCAGUGAGCCGAGAUAGCGCCACUGCAGUCCAGCCUGGGCGAAAGAGCGAGACUCUGUCUCAAAAAAAAAAAAGAAGUUAAAGGUCCAAGAGAAAGGUAGCGGUGCUGAUGGAGACAAAGGGACAGAUUGAGGAUGUGGAGCUCAUAGGGUUUGCUGGUGGAAUGGACAUAGAGUGAGAGGGAAAGAAAUUAACCAACGAUGGCUUCCAGGUGCAGGGUUUGAGCAAUCGGUUGAACACUGACAUCCUGGCUGGGACAACAAACACUGAGGGGUAGUCAGACGUGGGGAGCAGGGAACAACUAACAGCUUUGUUUUAGAUACUGAAGUUUGCAGCAUCUAUGAACCCUGUGACAGAAGGUGCCUAGUAGGCAGGAGCAUAUAUAAGAGGAGUCCAGGAGAGGUCAGGCAGGAGAUAGACAUUUGGAAGUCAUCAGCACAUGGAAGAUAUUUAACACUGUGAGACUACAAAAAAUAACCUAGAAAAGAGUGUUGAUAGAGAAGGAAUGCUGGAGAACUCCAGCAUUUAGAGAUUAGUAAGAAGAGGAGGAGCCAGCAAAGAGGAGGUUGAAGUCAUUAUCAGAUCAGUUUGUAGCUUGUGAGCAUAGGGAUCAUGCCCCACAAACAGGAGUUUUUACUGAGGCUUGGAAAAGUCUGAUCUUCCAUAUCAGAAAUCAACAUUUUGCAGGUACAUUGGCUAUUAGGGCUUUUCAGCUGAAUCAGUUACUCUGCAUAAUAUAUAUCCUGCAUGGAGUAACUUAAAAGUUUUGGGAAGCAGGAAAAAGAUAUGAUUUCUAUGGUCCUUAGAAACAUUGCCUAGUGAUCUAGGGACCUGGAGAAAUUCCACAUUAUUGAAGUCAAGAUGUUCCAUAUCUAUUCUCUGUUUAUCUAGUUAGGUCAGUGCAGUGGUAAGAAGAAGUCGAGAGCCUGGAUUCUGGUCUUGUCCUCAUCAUCUACUAGCUGGGUGACUUCGAGCAAGGUGAUUAACUUCUUUGAGCUUUCCUUCCAUUAAUAUACCAUAUUGAGUUGUUAGCAAUACUCGUAGGAUUUUGUGUGUGUGUGUGUGUGUGUGUGUGUGUGUGCAUGUGUAUACGUAUGUGAAGAAUGCUGGAGAUAGCGCAUGAAAAGUACUUAGCACAUGGUUAGAGCUCUGUAAAUGGCCAUUUUUAUAGUGAUAGUUAUUGUAUCCAUCUUCUUCCCUUCAGACUCUGUUCUGCUCCACAUUGUGCUCAUUUCUUACUUUUAUCAAGAUUUUCCUCCAUUUUGCAAUGUUUUUUCUCCUCCUUUCUGCCUUUCCACUUCCUACCAGUCUCCUCUUCCAUGUCUUUUAUUCAAACAUUUUUAAGCUUGGCCUGUGUGUUAAGUUCUGUGCCUGGAAAUGAACACCAUAAACUCUUCCCUAAUUAUCUCAGCUUACCAUCUAUCUUCCACCCAUUCAGCCACCCACCCCCCCGUCCACUCACCCAUCCAUCCGUCC
rnacentral:lncRNA from 10 species